GCGCGGGUGGUGGAAUCGGUAGACACGAGAGACUUAAAAUCUCUUGCCCAUAAAGCGUGCGGGUUCAAGUCCCGCCCCGCGCACCA
rnacentral:tRNA from 1 species